rnacentral:lncRNA from 11 species
UUUCAAGCGGAUUUGCAGUGCUUUGUUUCCGCUAUUACUUCAUGGACAAACUUCGAUUUCUAAAGGAAACUAUCGAGCUUCACUUGUGGAUUACAAAUUGGACAUUGAAAAGUCUAUGUCAGGAAAGGAUUCGAAAACGUCCCUGUCCUUUUACAGAAUCAAGAGAAAUACCUGGUAAAAACAAAAAAAAACAUUCAUGUUAUCAGAAGAAAGAAAAUUAUUUUGUCUCAUCUAGUGUUCACCUUUGCUUGAGUCACACUGAGACUUUAUGUGUCAAACAGACAUAAAGCAGCCACUUAAAAAAAAAAAUAAGAAAAGGAAACCAGGAAUUAUAAUGACCUGAUAUUGCCAAUGUUUUUGUACUACCUAUUGUAGAAGAACAAAUGCAUACAUGGGACCAAUAUCAUAUUUGUGCCCAUUAGCAACAACUAUUAUUUCUUUUCUGGAAACUCACUAGAAACUGACAGCUAAUAGAUCAUGUAUUGACACCAGUCUUUUG